rnacentral:misc_RNA from 1 species
GAUGAAGAACGCAGCGAAAUGCGAUACGUAAUGUGAAUUGCAGAAUUCAGUGAAUCAUCGAGUCUUUGAACGCACAUUGCGCCCCCUGGUAUUCCGGGGGGCAUGCCUGUCCGAGCGUCAUUGCUGCCCUCAAGCACGGCUUGUGUGUUGGGCCUCCGUCCUCCUCCCGGGGGACGGGCCCGAAAGGCAGCGGCGGCACCGCGUCCGGUCCUCGAGCGUAUGGGGCUUCGUCACCCGCUCUUGUAGGCCCGGCCGGCGCUUGCCGACACAUCAAUCUUUUUUCCAGGUUGACCUCGGAUCAGGUAGGGAUACCCGCUGAACUUAAGCAUAUCAAUACGGAGGA